rnacentral:sRNA from 1 species
UCAAAUCCGUAGAGUCUCACAUUUAACUCAUAGAAGAAUCAGAUUUCCCCUGCUCUCUGUGUUUGUUUCUAGUUUUUUCCCCAAUGUCUUGAUUUGGGAUUGGAAAACAAAUGGCUAGCUAUAAUGUUGACAUACAUUGGGUUCUUAUGUGACUCAUGUUUUAUCAGGCUAGGAGGAAUACCUGUGGGAGUUGUUGCUGUAGAAACCCGAACAGUAGAACUAAGUAUCCCAGCUGAUCCAGCAAACCUGGAUUCUGAAGCCAAGAUAAUCCAGCAGGCUGGCCAGGUUUGGUUCCCAGAUUCUGCGUUUAAGACGUAUCAGGCCAUCAAGGACUUCAACCGGGAAGGGCUGCCUCUGAUGGUCUUUGCCAACUGGAGAGGCUUCUCUGGUGGAAUGAAAGAUAUGUACGACCAAGUGCUGAAGUUUGGUGCUUACAUUGUGGAUGGCUUGAGGGAGUGCUGCCAGCCUGUGCUGGUUUACAUUCCUCCCCAGGCUGAGCUGCGGGGUGGCUCCUGGGUGGUGAUUGACUCCUCCAUCAACCCCCGGCACAUGGAGAUGUAUGCUGACCGAGAAAGCAGGGGAUCUGUUCUGGAGCCAGAAGGGACAGUAGAAAUCAAAUUCCGCAGAAAGGAUCUGGUGAAAACCAUGCGUCGGGUGGACCCAGUCUACAUCCACUUGGCUGAGCGAUUGGGGACCCCAGAGCUAAGCACAGCUGAGCGGAAGGAGUUGGAGAACAAGUUGAAGGAGCGGGAGGAAUUCCUAAUUCCCAUUUACCAUCAGGUAGCCGUGCAGUUUGCUGACUUGCACGACACACCAGGCCGGAUGCAGGAGAAGGGUGUUAUUAGCGAUAUCCUGGAUUGGAAAACAUCCCGUACCUUCUUCUACUGGCGCCUGAGGCGUCUUCUGCUGGAGGACCUGGUCAAGAAGAAAAUCCACAAUGCCAACCCUGAGCUGACUGAUGGCCAGAUUCAAGCCAUGUUAAGGCGCUGGUUUGUGGAAGUGGAAGGAACAGUGAAGGCCUAUGUUUGGGACAAUAAUAAGGAUCUGGCGGAGUGGCUAGAGAAACAGCUGACAGAGGAGGAUGGUGUUCACUCGGUAAUAGAGGAAAACAUCAAAUGCAUCAGCAGAGACUACGUCCUCAAGCAGAUCCGCAGCUUGGUCCAGGCCAAUCCAGAGGUUGCCAUGGAUUCCAUCAUCCAUAUGACCCAGCACAUAUCACCCACUCAGCGAGCAGAAGUCAUACGGAUCCUCUCCACAAUGGAUUCCCCUUCCACGUAGGAAGAGCUUCCUGCCUGUCCCUGCCCUGUCUCUGGAGAAAAGGGCUAGAGCUGCCUUUUACAACUGUAACCACUGUAAUGAGAAGGCACAGGAG